AAUAAGGCCAUGCUUGGUUCACUGUAAUAGUUAUGCCAUUACAACUCAAUUCUGCAGGCCCUCCACAAACCAAUGUUUGGUUGAGUGGAAUGCCUAUUAUGGUUAUAUUCCAUUACAGGCUUAUGGAGAGAAUAAGAGCCAUUUUUAUUCCCUUUCAUUCCCAUUGAAUGCUGAUUCGGUGCCCAAAGAAUUCCAUUUUACCCUCCUCACUUUCUCACCUAAAAAAUGUUCUCACUCAACUCAAUAACCACUCUCAAUCUCAGCCUCCCUUGCUUCAUUCUCCUCCGGCCACUAGCACUCCUCCCCUUCAUCGCAACAUCCUUCAGGGUUAUUGAAAAUGGAACAAGCAAAGAUUGGGUCGGGAACUGGGAGAGAGGCCUUUAACGUCCACUAUUGGAAACUUGGACUUUUGUUUGGAUUGUGAGAAAAUGAAAAAUGGAAACUUGGGGCUAUUAUCCCCACUUAAAUGAAAUGUCUUAGUCUUUCAUUUCUUCCAUCCAAAGAAAGAAAAGAACUUUUGUUUGUGAUGA